UUAAGCACCACUAAGACUCAAUCCGCCAGAAAAUUACGAGCGAAAGCCUAAAACUCAAAAGACUUGACGGUGUCCCAACCUUCCUAGAGGAGCCUGUUCCAUAAUCGACAACCCACGAUAUACCUAACCACCCUUAGAAAUCUUUUAACCUCAGCCUAUAUACCGCCGUCAUACAGCCUACCUUUUAAAAGAAUUUAAGUAGGCUAAAUAGUAACAUACUAACAAGUCAGGUCAAGGUGUAGCUUAUACGGUGGAGGCAAUGGGCUACAUUGUUUAUAUUAAACCAUACGAACUUUACUUCUACCUGAAAAAAGACAAUGAAGGCGGAUUUAGCAGUAAUUUAAACAAGACUAUUUAAAUUAACACCAGCUCUGGGACAUGU
rnacentral:rRNA from 1 species